GCGAAGGUGGCGAAACUGGUAAACGCACUAGUCUCAGAAGCUAGUAUCUUAAUCUAUAAGGGUUCGAGUCCCUUUCUUCGCA
rnacentral:tRNA from 1 species